ACACUGUUCAAAUCAGUGGAGACCUACAUUUUUCCUGGGUUGGACGAGUGUUGACGGAAUGUCUCUCCCAAUGCAUGACUGAUUGAAAAAUUGACAGCAGCCUCUAGAAACUGGAAGUGCGGCUGAGAGCAAUGUUACCAGCAGAGAAUUGCCCUCCUUGCAAGAGAAUUUGGUGGGUUUUGGUCAAAGUACACAUAAGAAUUCCUACAGGAAGAUUUGAAGCCUUUGUCCAGGAUGACCUCUGUGUUUUCUUUGGGACCGUGGACUCGAGGAGUGUUUCCCUUUUGGGUUUUGCUGGGCAGAAAGACCAUGAAAAUUCUCAUGUCCAUAGAGACCAGGAAGCUUAGAUUCUCACACUGUUUUCUUGCACUAGAUGCCGGCCGAUGACGCAACUAAUAAUAAUGGCAUGGCUUUGGAGCGCCCCACUCCAGUGACAAACAAUCGGGGUGAAGAAGAAGAAGAUUGCAUAGGAUGCUGCUUCCGGAUCCAAAGGAACAAUCGACAGACGUCACAAAGAUCCACCUCUGGCUGCAUCAGAAAAUUAUGCUCCUGGCGCCACCAGCGAGUGCACCCCGCUAAUGGGUCGGGGACAGAAGAAACCCCGGGCUCCCAUGAAAGGCUGCCCAGCACCGCAGGAGGAAUAGAGGCUCCAAGUGGCUGCACAAUGCCGGCCGAUGACGCAACUAAUAAUAAUGGCAUGGCUUUGGAGCGCCCCACUCCAGUGACAAACAAUCGGGGUGAAGAAGAAGAAGGUGGGUCUUCCUUGCGGGCAUUGGUUGGAGAGCAGCCAGAUCCUGGGUUCCUUUUGGAAAGGGGGUAG
rnacentral:lncRNA from 1 species